AGUGAACGCUGGCGGUAGGCCUAACACAUGCAAGUCGAACGGCAGCACAGUAAGAGCUUGCUCUUACGGGUGGCGAGUGGCGGACGGGUGAGGAAUACACCGGAAUCUACUUUUUCGUGGGGGAUAACGUAGGGAAACUUACGCUAAUACCGCAUACGACCUACGGGUGAAAGCAGGGGAUCCUCGGACCUUGCGCGAUUGAAUGAGCCGAUGUCGGAUUAGCUAGUUGGCGGGGUAAAGGCCCACCAAGGCGACGAUCCGUAGCUGGUCUGAGAGGAUGAUCAGCCACACUGGAACUGAGACACGGUCCAGACUCCUACGGGAGGCAGCAGUGGGGAAUAUUGGACAAUGGGCGCAAGCCUGAUCCAGCCAUACCGCGUGGGUGAAGAAGGCCUUCGGGUUGUAAAGCCCUUUUGUUGGGAAAGAAAAGCAGCAGGUUAAUACCCCGCUGUUCUGACGGUACCCAAAGAAUAAGCACCGGCUAACUUCGUG
rnacentral:rRNA from 1 species